rnacentral:rRNA from 1 species
CCUACGGGUGGCAGCAGUGAGGAAUCUUGGUCAAUGGACGAAAGUCUGAACCAGCCAUGCCGCGUGCAGGAUGACGGCUCUAUGAGUUGUAAACUGCUUUUUUAUUGGGGUAAACACCCCUACGUGUAUGUGCUUGAAAGUAUGAUACUAAUAAGGAUCGGCUAACUCCGUGCCAGCAGCCGCGGUAAUACGGAGGAUCCAAGCGUUGUCCGGAUUUAUUGGGUUUAAAGGGUGCGUAGGCGGUUUGAUAAGUUAGAGGUGAAAUACCGGUGCUUAACACCGGAACUGCCUCUAAUACUGUUGAACGAGAGAGUAGUUGAGGAAGGCGGAAUGUAUGGUGUAGCGGUGAAAUGCUUAGAGAUCAUACAGAACACCGAUUGCGAAGGCAGCUUACCAAACUAUAUCUGACGUUGAGGCACGAAAGCGUGGGUAGCAAACAGGAUUAGAUACCCUAGUAGUC